CACUUACCCCAUUGUCAGCCGUUUUCCCUUAUCUUUAACUUGCUUAUUUUUUCUUCAGGAGACUGGAACACAAGGUUGUCAUCAUCCCCUGCUCCAGCACCGGCGCCCACCAUGGCCGACAACCGGACAUACUUUGAAAUUGAAGACGUCCGGGAAUCGCAGGCCGGAACCAUUCAGAGACGAGAAGAGGGAACCAAUCUGCGACGUGAUUACACGAAUAGCUGCGGCUACCAUGAACUCCGCCAUUUACGACUCAAGAAAGAUAGUGUACUGCGCAUGACUGGAACAGACAUGGACGACUGUUCCAGUAUGAAAUCAGUGUCCACCGUGAGUCAGUAUGAUGAACCAUGGAUCUAAGUAUUCGGCUAUCUACAGAUAUGGAAAGAUAAGAUUGCUCUUUUAGUGGACACCUGGUGUCAUCACUGAUUUUUAGUGAUUCAUUGACACAUUUUUUUCACAACUAUUUUAUGGCCUGUGCUGAAGAGAAUACAUUUCAACAUGUA